rnacentral:rRNA from 1 species
AGUGAACGCUGGCGGCGUGCCUAAUACAUGCAAGUCGAACGGAGUGGCGCACGGGUGAGUAAUAUAUAGCUAAUCUGCCCCUUGCUGGAGGACAACAGUUAGAAAUGACUGCUAAUACCCCAUAGCAAGGGAUGAGACUAUAUCGUAUCAGCUAGUCGGUGGGGUAACGGCCUACCGAGGCUAUGACGCGUAACUGGUCUGAGAGGAUGAGCAGUCACAUUGGAACUGAGACACUGUGCGAGCUCCUACGGGAAGGAGCAAUAGGGGAUAGUGCGCAAUGGGGGAGACCCAAGCACAGCAACGCCGCGUGAAGGAUGACACUUUUCGAAGCGUAAACUCCUUUUGUUAGGGAAGCGGUACCUAACGAAUAAGCACCGGCUAACUCCGUGCCAGCAGCCGCGGUAAUAC